GAGGUGCGGAAGACGCGGUGGGGGUAUGCUUACGUACUUUUCCUCAUAUACAAUAGCUUUGCCACCCCACUAGUAGAUGGCGCUGACAAAAAUUGCCCGAUUUUACGCACACACAGAGCAGUCUCGCGUACAUGAGAUUACCACAUGCAAAGGCUCACGGACGGCCCGAGUUUUCCCGCCCCACUACUUGAUGCGUUGCAGUCGAUCCCUUACACGCAUACGAUCAAAUUUGGAAAAAAAUAAAAUAAAAAAUUGUAGCACGUGGACCUUACAGCAGGCUAUUAUAAUAUCACUAUACAAAUUUUAUAUUCAUUUGUUUGAUAAUUUCAGUCCUCUCUAGUAC
rnacentral:misc_RNA from 1 species